GAGAGAGAGGGAGAGCAGUCCGGUGAGGCUUAUGCUCAGUUGUUCAUGCUGAAUGUUGGUUGGUGCUGCAGACUGGCACUGGUGUCGCGUCUGCUGAUGGGCUGUGUCAACCCUGCUCUACUGGUAGCCAUCACUCACCCACACAUCACACAGCACGGCACAGUAUCACACCACCUGUGUUCUCACAGCGUCUUUAUGAUGAUCUGUCUCUGGCCUCCUAUUCUUCAUCUGGUCCCUCUGCUCAGAACCAGGCUGUGAUUCUGUGCUGAACUGGUCACACCAUCGGUCCAGCUGCUCCUCCUGCCUCUAGCAGCAGACGCACAUUUUCCCAGAGGUCCAAGCAGCCCAGCGGUGUCCUGAAGUUACCAGGACUGCAGGAUGUAUUGUGACAGAUUUUAAAUGUGAGGAAGAGGAGCCCUCAUCACCCAUCACCUCUGUGAGAUGAAAGGCCCCGAAAGCAGCCAGCCACCCUGCUGGACACAGCUCAGCUGUUAUAAGAAGUGUUUGACAGGAGUGGCAGAGACAAAGACUCCUCAAUGCGUCCUUUUAACGAUUCAAGUUUACAUCCUGAUCAGCAUUGGAAGUUGGAAGCCACAUACAGCCGAUCACCAGGUUAAUGUAUUCCGUUAAGGAGAUGUCAUCUUGAACAUUUGCUGGUGCCUCUGCAAUUGUACGUGUGUUCAGUGUCUGUGAAUUCAGCCCAGUGGAACAGCAACAGUCAUCUACAGGUAGUCACAUAAUCCCUAGUUAGCAAACCAUUCAACCUCGCCCAUAAGUGUGCUCUUGUAUUUCUUGUAUUGUGAAAACCAAUUUGAGUUUUAGACCUUGUGAGGAUAGAAUUGGGUUCAGUUUAAGGGUUGGGGUUAAGAUCCAGGUUGUAAUAUACCAGAAAUACCGUUAAAGGCUGGGGUAAGGGUUGAGAUUGGACAUGUAGUUGUGUUGGUUAAGGUUGCCAGUUGGAGCUAUGGAAUACAUUGUGUCAAUGGCAAUCCUCACAAGUAUGCAAUGACAGACAGAGAGAGAGAGAACUGUUUAAUCUGAACAUAUGGUAUUAGAAAAGAAUAAUGGAAUUGUCUUUCCAAACCCCCAAACCAUUUUAAGUUGGCGCAUCUCCAGAGGUCCUAAAUAACACUGCAAACGAUUAAUUGUUGUAGCACAUGCCAAAGGGAGGUAUGAGAUGCAUGCAUGCAUGCAUUUGGCUCUGUGUGUGUGUGUGUGUAUAUGUGUGUGAAUGUUUGCGCACUUGCACCUGUGCAGACAGCUGCAUGCCUUUCACUUCAGCAUGAAAUGUAUUUUUCACUCAAUCUAUUAAUUCAUUUCUACUCAUGUAGUGCAAGCGCUCACGUUUCUCUGUGAAUGUGUUGGCGGACUCAUCAUGGCUUCCCCAGAUUUUCUCAUCCUUUUAUCUGUGUCUUUAUUUAGGCAAACUUCUGCUGUCAGGAGCAGGUUGUGUGUGAGCGUUUCCCAGCGAGCCUCCCAGCAAAUGCACCACACUGACACGUGUCUGUAUGUGUUAAUCACAGAUGUCUAUUUCUUCCCCUCUAUGGCCACCUCCAGACCUCCCAUAGCUCUCUCCCUGUCUCCCUGCCCAGAGCGAGCGCAGCACAGGUGACAAAAGGCGGCAUGACUAGCAUGCCACACAUCCAUCAGACUGUGAGAAGCAGCAGGGGAGAGCAAACUGAUCUAAAUUUGGGGAGUUAUUACGCAGUACAAGCAGACUGCUCAAAGUAAUGCAAGAAUCUGGAGGCUUUUAUAUGUUAUUAAGUUUGGCGUGAUUACUUAUUUCCUGGCUUAGCAAUCUUGUAGAGGCUUCAUGUAUUAUUAACAAUAUCUUAUUUCGCCAGCUAAAGUAACUACUUCUCUUACUUAUCAAUAUCUAUUUUAUCUGCAUGCUUAUGUUUGAAAUACACCAUGUAAUGGUGUAUCCUGGUCGAGUGGGAGUAAUGUUGUGGGUAAUAUCUCCUCUUUGACAUUUGCCCUCUGCAAUUCUGACCUUAUCCACCUCGCCGCAGUUCCCUGCCUAAGGCCCUGUAGCUCUGUCUGAUGUCCGCUCACGCAAUCACCACUGCAAUCCACACACACAAGCAUGCGCACUCGCACAAACACACACACACACACACACACACAUACAGAUUUGCUGCAAUUAGAUUUAUAUGGUGUGAGCUUACUGCCUCCCACGAUUCUAACCAAUAAGGUCAUUUUGUAGAUGAAGAAAACGAAUGCUUUCAUUUCUGCAAGUUGCCUGUUUCGAAUGUACUCCGCAACCACCAAAACACUACAGUGAAUCUGUUUUAUAUUGUUGUAUUCAGUGUCCUCAUCUGUUUCCAUCUGCAUAGCUGUUUUUUCUUCAGAAUCCUAGCCUUUUAUUUUCCAUUUGUAUGAUAAAUGAAAUGUGCAUGUAAAGUCAUGGAUGUUGUUUUAGAUGAUGGAAUAGAUCUAUCUCUAGAUCUGUGUUAUCAGAGUUAUAAAACAAUGAGUGACUACAGCACUUAACUCUGUGUAUAAAAAGUAAAACAGUAUUUUUACAUAUUUGUGGUCCUCAUUCUGCACAAACUUUUACACAUUUGGUUGCUGUUUGCCUACAAAGAUGUUUGUUUGUCUUGGCUACAUAAUUGAAUACCAUUAAUGUAGCAAGCACUGCCUCGUAGCCAAGAAAUGGUUUGAUCUUUGUUUAAAGUGUGUCAGCUUUUUAGUCCUAUUAGUAGUUUGUUCUUCUUUUGGGUGUGUGCAAAGCACUAGGGAGACAGCACUUUAAAAGGUCACUAAUGCACUCAGCCUGCUGAAGGGGAAAAAAGGCAUGUUGGAUGUUUGUUUGUGCUUUUUUAUCUCUCUUUACAGUGAGUUCUCUGGAGAUGCGGCGCUACAACAUGUGAGAAUACCAUGGUGUUUUCACUUUGAGGGAGGAGGAGACAGAGAAAGUGAGAAACAUUUACCACAUUGCAUCCUGUCUGUUUCUGCCUGCAGCAUGUAAGGCCAACACAGGCCGCGAUCAGACAUUUACGAAAAACAAAAGUACAAAGGGAGUAGAGCAAGACAGCAUCUGUGGCGAGUUAAAGUUAGAGAAAGGGAUAAGGGUCAGAGAUGUCUGAAGUUCUGUGAGUCAACUUUCAUACUACUGUGGCCAGGAAUAUGUUGUUGCAGUAUUAAACAAGUGUAUACAAGGCAGUGGAGUGGCGAGGUGGGGUCACGGUGUCACACAGUCCGAGGGUGGGCCUGCAGAUAAGAGCCCGGGCGGCUCACUCGUCUCCCUCAGCACAGGGAGUGACUGCAGAGUACACCUGGCCUGGCAGCUUCAGACCAUCCAGGGACAACUGGGAAAGGCUUCCUCCUCGGCCGCAACCCAAACUGACAAAGGGAAUCAUGUGCGGUGGUAGGAGCAAACAGAGCAAGGUUGACAGUGUUAAUGUGUGACUGGCUGCGUUAUCAUGCAGAGGUUUCUGUGUUUUUCUGUGUGUACGUUUAUGCUUGUGUGUGUGCUUAUAGGAGAGACUCUGGGGCGGCAGGAGGAGGCCGGUCUACUAACAGCUGACUGCUUUUCUAACCUUUGUGUUUGUCAUACCAGGUUACAGGCAGGACACGGUAAGGAGAAAAGAAAAUAGGUGAAAAAAAGAAAGUGAGAGAAAAAAGUCAAGCUUGAACAUAGAAAGAAAAUGAUGGUGCUAGAGUGCAUGCAAGCCAGAAUUAUAAAGUUAUCGCUGUCGAUGGAAACCUUUUGUAAACCUUAACUUGCUGCCAAAGUACUCUUGAGCAUAUAUAUAUAUAUAUAUAUAUAUAUACAUAUAUUAGUGAGUCAUCAGUGACAGGUGUAGAGUUGGCGAUAGUAAUUUUUGCUGCAAAAAUGUGACAUUGCAUUGUGGGAUUGUAGAAGUGUAAAUAUUUUGGACACUACUUUUUACGUUCCAUUGUUGGUAUUUUUGACGGCACUAUAUAUAAUGUAUAAAAUUCAUUAUAUGUUUUCUUGUCUGCAGGGAUGGGGCUUAUAGAACAGCUCCCCAUUAGGAGAGACACACCUGGGCCCAGUUUUCUCUCAUGAGGAUAUGCAGGGCACAUAACUAACCCAGAAGUCACCACAGUUGCUCCUUUCUUGACACUGCUAAAAUGCUUAGGAGCUGUUUAUUUAAUUUAGGCAUAAGGUUUGAUAGACAAAGCAAAUGGAUCACCCCAACCUAGUGAGACAAUUCUGUCCUCCCAUUACAAUAACCUGUCAGGUAUGUUGUGAGCAAAAUAUUUGUUUUGGAAUACUCCUGUCUCUGUCUUGAAUGCUUUUCAACUCUUCUGUGGCUUUUUAAUAUAUAACUUAUGUCAACUUCUGGGUUUUACUGCAUAAAAAAGUAAUGCCAACUCAUAAACUUUGUGUAAGACCAGGUCAGCAUUCAGUGCAAUGAGAUCUCCUCUCUACCCUCCAGAGUUAUGGUUUCUGGUUAUUUUUGGCACUGCUAAGACCACAGCACAUUCUCACAUAUGCACAUAUACACUGUAUAUUUCAUGUAUUGUGUAUAUCAGUAUGUGUCUGUGUGGAAUAUGUACUGGCUGUGUAAACAAUUCUCCCUCUGGGACAAUAAAGUCUAUUUAUCUAUCACUCCAUAACCCACUGAUUUUACAGAUUGGAUUCACUGAUGUUUUUGGUUGAGUGACACAUUUGUUGCAAAAAAGAAACUGCUGCAUUAUUCGUUAUUCUAAGAGCCGAGCUGUGACAAUGCGAGACCCACUUUUUCCUUGAGCCAAGUUGCUCCCUUUUGCAAAGUGGAUGCUUUUUUUUUCAAAAGAUGAAGAUAAACAGAAAAAUCUAUUUUUUGCCCCUUUACUUCUUUCACCAUCUGUGUUUGCAAGAAGCUCUGACAGCUUCAAGUCCAUUUGUGUUGAAGAGCAGCCACUUCCCACUUUGUGCCGGUUUGUGUAAACCAGGAAAUUUCAAACAAAAUCUGACCUGGGGUCAAAAACUAAAACGCAGUUGGUAGAUGCUUCUUUUCAGUGAUGACCCUGUUUUUAGUAAUAAUGUCUUCAAAAUUACUGUGGAAACGGUUUACAGAUGUUAGUAUCAUUAAACAAGACUCAAAUAUUCUCAUUCCCACCAGCUUACAUCAGCUUGUUAUAUGCUAAAGGGAAAUGGAUAAAAUGAUACAGAGAGGGGUGAUUGGCUCCCUUAAGAGCAAAGUAGCGCGGACCAACAUAGCAGCAAGUGUCACAUCCCAUUCCUGCCAGGUCCGAGGAAUGUCCAGUCCUUGACACUUGUCCAAUCCAAGCUAUCUCAAGCUUUCUCCUCCAGCUUCACGCCGGCUAAUCUCUCCUGACACCUCACACAGCCCUGACAGAGAAUCACUCUACCCUGAAAACAAUCCAGGCAUCCUCCCUCUCCACCCCAAAUCGGCACCAGCCCCCCAUCCUUCUGUCUGUCUUUCUUAUAUUUCUCUUUAUGCUCUCCCUCCCUAUCUAUUCCUUCCCCAUUACUUCUCUCUGUGGCCUACUCUUUCUCUCGUGUCUCCAUCUGUCUUUGUCAAACCAUAUUCCGCUCCUCUUCUAUCUCGCUCAAUCUUUCCUCCCCCUGUCUUUUGUCUUUUGUCCACACUUCCACAUUGGGUAUAUCAUGCCUCUGUUGAUGAGAAUCUGUGAAAAGAUGCUGUGAUUGCCAAUUGAGCAGUAGCCUGCAUUUCCUUAAGGACUCAUCAGCAUUCAAGAACUGCAUUUUACUUCACUGGUUGCUAAAGUUGGAGGGUCUUUAUCUCCAAGUGCACCUUUACAGAUGGAGAGAAGCUCCACAGGAUCACUUUAGGAUGGGACGAAGGGAGUAGAAACACAGACAUCUUUCCCUUGACACCCAUCACACUAAAUAUACUUUAUUUUUUGAAGAGAAAAGAGAGAUGAGGGACUUGCUGAUAGGAUUUUUUUUAUGUUUGCACUGACAGGCCAUUGUUAAAAUUCUUAGUUUAAACAGAACAAGAAACACACAUUUCCAUUCGUGUUGUUUGCACUGUAGUUAGUUAGACUUACAGAGCAAAUGACAUCCUUUACAGAUAAUUUUCACUAAUUAGCGUAUUUGGGAUACAAGAAUUCUCGUGAGACAAGUCACUCAAAAAAUCCCAUUUAUUAUUUAAACGUAUUCAACAAUUCCAAAAGAUAGACAAACAUGUCAUAGAUUUAAUUUACAAGCUGUUUGUUCUUCUCAUCAUAUCUAUAGAGGCUUCCCAACCUACAGAGCACAAUCUCAUUGGCUGCUGAGCAAAAUAUCUGUCAUUGGCUGUAGCACAGAAUAACUCUGAAAAAGAAUGAUGUAGCUAUGGCACGGCACAUGCUAAAAUGCAGACACUCACUGGUAUGCACAGACACAUACAUACUCACACAUACAAACACGUGCACACAAACACACAAAUGUGCAGUCAUCAAAGACCAAGUCACUCACCCAAUCAAUUUCCUUCUCAAGCAAGCUGUCAGGCCGCCAUGUUGAGUAAAUAUUACCAUAAUGCCUGUAUGUCAGUGAAUACGCAGCUAAUGAAUGGAUGACAUUCAGUGAAGCUCAGAGACACUGAAACCUAAAAUUUGCCCGCUACUGUUAUUGUGCCUGAACGCCCCUCCCCAGCACUUCACUCACUUCUCACUCUUUCUCUCUCCGUCUUUGUGACUUUCUCUCCCUCUCCCUCCACUUCAGAAGCCCCUUUUUUUUUUACCGCGCAAGAAGGCUUGGAGGUCGACACAGCAAAGAAGAAUAAAGAACAGGCGCUCUUCAACUAGGUUACCACUGAAUCUGAAGAAUUUGCUUCAUCACAUGGCUGGUUGUGCAGAGUAGAGCAUCUACACAAAACUAAAACAUUGAAGAGAUGAUUUGAAUUCUACUUUUAAUCCGAACAGCAGCAGGACAUUGUGUGUGUGCAAACAGUGUCAGGUGGUUUGUGGAAAAGGUAUUGUCAAUAUGAGAUGUUUCCAUUUUCAGAUACAUUGGAAAGUACAGUGCAGAAUUGUUAUUCUCCACAUGAACAAUAUAUAGUUACCUAGCUGUACCCAGCGAUGAAGAAAAACACCCACUGCCAUGAAAUACUGACAGUGUUCAUUUAAAGAUUUCUUUUCCAGCUGUUAGAUCUCUGAGCUGCAUCACAAAUAAUAUCUCACAAAUCUCUCAGUCAAACAGGAUAUCUUCACAAGGGAUAAAUAUAUUCUUUUUUUUUUAAAUCUCAUUUGUGUAGAAUACUAUGCAUGGCUACAAAAUAAAACACAAUCUAAGGAAAAUUGCACGGAACAACACUACAAGUUUCAGUCAAUCGAGUCCACUGACAGUAUAUCUGAGUGUUGCCACUGGAGAGAAGAGAUGAGAUCGUCCACUUUUGCAGGGUUUUCGUUUUUGUUGUUGAUUUUUCUGUGCAAUGGAGCAGGGCUGAAGAGGAGAGACACUGAAAGCGAGGAGCUUCUGACACGUCGGCAUCGUUGCGAGGAGUGAAGAAAAACCAGCCUAC